rnacentral:rRNA from 1 species
GAUGAACGCUAGCGGCAGGCUUAAUACAUGCAAGUCGUGGGGCAGCAUGAAUGUAGCAAUACAUUUGAUGGCGACCGGCAAACGGGUGCGGCACACGUACACAACCUUCCUAUAAGUGGGGAAUAGCCCAGAGAAAUUUGGAUUAAUACCCCGUAACAUAAUGAUGUGGCAUCACAUUAUUAUUAUAGCUUCGGUGCUUAUUGAUGGGUGUGCGGCUGAUUAGAUAGUUGGCGGGGUAACAGCCCACCAAGUCUACGAUCAGUAGCUGAUGUGAGGGCAUGAGCGACGACACGGGCACUGAGACGGGGGCCCGACGCAUAGUAGAGGCAUCAGUAAGGAAUAUUGGUAAAUGGACGCAAGUCUGAACCAGCCAUGCCGCGUGAAGGAUUAAGGUCCUCUGGAUUGUAAACUUCUUUUAUCUGGGGCGAAAAAAGGCGAUUCUUCGUCACUUGACGGUACCAGAUGAAUAAGCACCGGCUAACUCCGUGCCAGCCGCCGCAGUAACAC